UAGGGAAUCUUCCGCAAUGGGCGAAAGCCUGACGGAGCAACGCCGCGUGAGUGAUGAAGGUCUUCGGAUCGUAAAACUCUGUUAUUAGGGAAGAACAAAUGUGUAAGUAACUAUGCACGUCUUGACGGUACCUAAUCAGAAAGCCACGGCUAACUACGUGCCAGCAGCCGCGGUAAUACGUAGGUGGCAAGCGUUAUCCGGAAUUAUUGGGCGUAAAGCGCGCGUAGGCGGUUUUUUAAGUCUGAUGUGAAAGCCCACGGCUCAACCGUGGAGGGUCAUUGGAAACUGGAAAACUGGAGUGCAGGAGAGGAAAGUGGAAUUCCAUGUGUAGCGGUGAAAUGCGCAGAGAUAUGGAGGAACACCAGUGGCGAAGGCGACUUUCUGGUCUGUAACUGACGCUGAUGUGCGAAAGCGGGGGGAUCAAACAGG
rnacentral:rRNA from 1 species